rnacentral:lncRNA from 1 species
AUCCCUUCCGUUUCGAGCUCUCUUGUGGGGACCGGCGUGCGGCGGCUUAGAUAGCGCUGGCGUCGGUUCCUUGUUGUGUGUGGUGUUGUUUUUAGGCUUUGCUGUUUUUAUUGGUGUAGACCUGAGAUUCCCACUGGUCUUCGUUUGAUUUGUUGGGUUUGAAGUUUUAAUGGGCAGAUAUGCUUCGAUUGGUGAGGGUCUUUAUUGGUUUGGCCAGAUCUGUUGAUUUGCGCUGUUUGGCUGUUCAUAGCCUGAUUUCAUUGGUCCUUGUAUGUUCUGUUUUGGGCUUUGAUCUUUCCUCCUCUCAACGAGUGGUUUUUGUCGGGUUUUAUCUCUUCCCUUGUAGUCAGGUUUAAGAGUUCUCUAUGAUUAGUGUUUGACAGUUCCUCCUGCAGAAUUUCUCUCCUAUUGUGGUGGAUACAAUGAUUUCUUGUCGAUUUGAUCUGUUCUUGACUGUAUUGAUGGUGGUUUCGAUCGACGAGGCUUAGUUUCUUGUGGAGUUUUAUGAUGGCUUCUAUCUAGGUUAAAAAAUAAGACGUCAUGGAGUACGUCAUAACCGUAUCCGAAAGAUGUGGUGGAUCGUGAAGCGGUUCUUCUUGUCGGGUUAUGAAGUCUUGGUUCUUGGUUACUAUUGGGGAUGCUAUCGUUUGACAGGCCAUAGACGGCAGUUAGAUCCGGGUUAAGAAGACUUGGAGUCUGGAUUACUAGAAGUGGAUGGAAUCGUUGGGCUUGCCGAGGGCAGCAGCGAUUAAUCUGAAUCAUUGCUUGCUGCUAUAGGUUUGGUUGGAUGCUUGGAGUUGUCAUAGUCUUUGAGUAGAUGGAUGUCUUUUGUUCCUGUUUUAGUUGCGGACUAUAGUAUUUAUCCGUGUGUUCGAUUUAACUCGUAAGUUACCCCGG